GUAGGUGAACCUGCGGAAGGAUCAUUACAGUAGUCACCCAGGUUGCCGCAAGGCCUCCUGGGUAACCUACCACCCUUUGUUUAUUACACUUUGUUGCUUUGGCAAGCCUGCCCUCGGGCUGCUGGCUCCGGCCGGCUAGCGCUUGCCAGAGGACCUAAACUCUGUUUGUCUAUACUGUCUGAGUACUAUAUAAUAGUUAAAACUUUCAACAACGGAUCUCUUGGUUCUG
rnacentral:misc_RNA from 1 species